rnacentral:misc_RNA from 1 species
CCUCGAACACCAGACCGCCGGUUCUGAAAAACAGAAAGCGCGUUCCUAGCGCCUCGAUGGUCCGGUCGAGUUUCAUGUCGAACCCGAGCCGCGCGCCGUAGAGCGCCGCGGUCCGCUCGGGAUCCGGUGUCGCGAUCACGAGAUGAUCGAGCAUCUCGACCGAAGCUGGCGCGAUCUCGGGCGAGCGUGCGAGUCGUUCGCCCCGCUGAAGAAAGAACAGCCG